UGAUUUGUAACAGUGUGAUACGAUCCGGAUUUAGUAGUUCCAGAAGAAGUUGCUGAUUCCUAAACUUUCUGUUUGAAACUCAUCGUCUUCAUAACACACCAAAUGAGGUCAUUGUGUUCUAAGUAAGAGAUGACUUAUUAAACUGACCUCCCUGUCACUAGUUGUUGUGCUUUGCAUUUGCAACGCACUUCCAAACAACUAUACUAUUGAGAAAUAAUGGGGUCUUCAAGUGUUCCCACCACUCUGUCCAUAGUGACGCUUCUCUGGAACCCUCGCACACUUAGUGCAUUUCACCAUUUUGACCGAAAUAAAAGACACGAUGGCGAUAUCGAUCCUUCGCAGGAAAAUUCCUCUUGUUUGCACGGUCGACCUCAUCAUUCCCUCUUCCCAACAAGCUAACGACAGCCAAUCCUGGGGAAGGAAGGGGUGGAGUUACCGGAGAGACAGCACAGAAUUGGUGAUGGUCAGACGGACUGGAUGACGGAAAAAGUUGAUUUGUCUUCGUUCCAGUCGACUACUGAAUCCUCUUCUAGCUCAUCAUCUCCGCCCUCACCGUUGGAACAUGAUGUCAAGGUGCCCUCUGACUUGGAGGUCAUGACCUCUCUUUUGCAAGAGGAGCUUGCUCAGCUUGAGGAUUACUUCCGGUCUGAAUCGACUUCAACCAAAGUGGACAAAUCACCAAAAUGUGACAAAGGCGCCCAAGCAAUGGGUGCCCAUUCUUACUACCAGUUGCCCUAUGCUUCGUACAGUGGCAACCAAUCAGAAACCAGCCCAUUGUUUGUUACCCUGGCAACAGGGGAACUCGACCGAGUGAGCUUCUGUGGUGGUCCCAUUGGAAGACCCAAAAUGGCUAGACAAUCCCCAUACAACUGUCAUCAUCGUUCAUACAAUACUUGCCGAAGAAUGGUUUCAGAUGGUGUCAACAAAGUUGGAGAGGAACUUGAGCAUGACACCUGGAGUGCCAAAGGAAGUUCCUCAGGAAGCACAGAGGUUGCUGUUAACCACUUUUCUACAUUGAAGAGAGUUGGGAAGAACAUUGGCAGUGUAAAGAAAGUCAGAGAAUGUGGUGUAAGAGAAUGUGGUGUAUUGCUGAAGGAAGAGGAAAGUUAUUGUUUUACAGAGGACGUUUUUUGCAGUGAAGAGAUGACCAGAAGUUUUUGUGUGGGUGGGUCCUUCGAUACCCACCCCAAGAGAGAAGGACAGUUGAUGCAUGGAAUGAAGGUUAGUGGCAGGGGUUAUGAUGGUAUGGGGCUGGAGGUCUUUCAUUGCAACAAAGAUGGUGGACUCUCUGGAGGUAUUCCUCAAGAGCCAGAGGCAAAUGGUGGCUAUUACCACCACCACCCGAACAUUGCUGAUACAGAGCCUUAUAGCUUUAUAAGUGAAAUCGAAGAGCCUACACAAGUACAUGGUAUAGAGCCCCAGCAUGGCCACUACCUCUUCCCAGAAUGUCUUGGAGACCAAAGCUACGAAUGUCUGUCAAGAGGAGAGAGCGAGAGGCCAAUGAUGGACUCGCCCAUUCACAGGCAAGCAGUACAGAGGCUAAAGGAAGAUCCAUGCUCCCUGAGCUGCCUCAAACCAGGCCUUGUCGCUGUCCCUCUGGAAGUACAUACCGGAGAACGGAAGCAGAAGAAGAGAGACCAGAACAAAACAGCUGCUCACAGGUAUCGACUGCGUAAGAGGGCGGAGCUGGACAUACUGGAGGAGGAGCUUCAUGGGCUGGAGGAACACAACCGGGAGCUCCGCGACAAGGCGGAGUCAGUGGAACGAGAGAUUCAAUAUGUCAAAGAUUUACUCAUCGAGGUCUACAAGGCACGUAGUCAACGCUUAAAGCAAGAUGCCAGUGCCUAAUCUCCCACCCACAACACCAGCACUCACAUCAAAAGCACUUGUUUGUUAAAAAUUAUAGUUGCAUGAUUUUGGUAGUUUUUCAAAAAAUAAAUAAUAUAAUCGCUUUAUUAUUGUUACAGACAAUAAACAACACAAUGUAUUUUUACAAAUGUUUCCCUGAAUGACUUCAGGCCUUAGUUGAAUUAAGGAGGGAACUAAAAUAAACUGUCCGUGACCACUGUGACACUGACUUGCCUUGUAAUGUUUGAGCUUGCAAUGAUUGACUGUUUAACUGUCAUUUUUUUUAAUUAUGUCUGUGUUAUUGACACUCAAUGGCAGCAUAAAGGAAGGAAGCUUUAUUCUGUGAUAUUGUACGUUUUGUUUUAUUUAUUAAUGUAAGUACCCUUUUGCUUCUUCCACUCAUUUGGUUUAAGGGACUGAAGAAGGAAUGUUUAAAAUGCUGUGUAAAAGUUCAUUCAUAAAUGCUGCAAACUACUAGAAUAUUUGAUUGCUAAAAUGCUCAUGUUGAACAUGUAGGAAACCACCUAGACCUUGCUAAAGUACCCAAUGCAUGUUUGAUUGUUAAAAAAGCAUGAUUGAUUGUUAUUUGAAAAUGACAACAUUCUCUGAACUGCAUGGCUUCCUGAUUUAAUGGUUUCCAUAGAGCAUUUUCUCAAGUCAUGCUUUAACUGUUUCAGCUUCAUUAGCUGACUAUUUCUACAGAGCUUCCCCCUCAAAUAUUGAAUCAUACUCAGGAUGUUUGUCCACUUUUACAUAAUGGGGAAAAUAUACAUGCCAUUCACUGUUUUAUCAUCUUGGUUUUUUCUUGGCUGUAUUUUGCGAAAAAACAAUCACCUGUUAACACAACAAUAAAUUGUUGUUGGGCAUAAUGUCUUCAUGAGAAUCUUAUUUGAUGAGUAUGUGUUCAAUUCAGGUCUGCUUGUUUGAUAGAUGAUGAUGUCUGGUAACUAACUAUCAGGUAAAUUGCAGCCAAAUAAACUAGUUGUGUUUUUUA